UACAGAGGUCCCAAGCGUUGUUCGGAUUUACUGGGCGUAAAGGGUGCGUAGGUGGUCGGGUAAGUCCGAUGUGAAAUCUCCAGGCUCAACCUGGAAAUGGCAUUGGAUACUAUCCGGCUUGAGGAGGUGGAGGGGGGGACUGGAAUUCUCGGUGUAGCAGUGAAAUGCGUAGAUAUCGAGAGGAACACCAGUGGCGAAGGCGAGUCCCUGGACACUUCCUGACACUGGAGGCACGAAAGCUAGGGGAGCAAACAGG
rnacentral:rRNA from 1 species